rnacentral:rRNA from 1 species
UACGUAGGGGGCGAGCGUUACCCGGAUUUACUGGGCGUAAAGCGCGUGUAGGCGGCUGGUCAAGCGUGGUGUGAAAUCUCCGGGCUCAACCUGGGAACUGCGGUUGAAACUGGCGAACUAGAAUCUGGCAGAGGGGGGUGGAAUUCCACGUGUAGCAGUGAAAUGCGUAGAGAUGUGGAGGAACACCGAUGGCGAAGGCAGCCCCCUGGGCUGAGAUUGACGCUCAGGCACGAAAGCGUGGGGAGCAAACAGG